AACGAACGCUGGCGGCAGGCUUAACACAUGCAAGUCGAGCGCGUAGCAAUACGAGCGGCAGACGGGUGAGUAACGCGUGGGAAUCUACCCAACCCUACGGAAUAACGCAUGGAAACCGUGUGCUAAUACCGUAUACGCCCUUAGGGGGAAAGAUUUAUCGCCCUGAGAUAAGCCCGCGUAGGAUUAGCUAGUUGGUGAGGUAAAGGCUCACCAAGGCGACGAUCCUUAGCUGGUCUGAGAGGAUGAUCAGCCACACUGGGACUGAGACACGGCCCAGACUCCUACGGGAGGCAGCAGUGGGGAAUAUUGGACAAUGGGCGAAAGCCUGAUCCAGCAAUGCCGCGUGAGUGAUGAAGGCCUUAGGGUUGUAAAGCUCUUUACCCGAGAUGAUAAUGACAGU
rnacentral:rRNA from 1 species